AUGCCUCUAGGUUCUCUCCACGCUUUUCAUAUCCCCGACUCACUGCCCCAUCGCCCGCCCCUUCCCGCGCUCGGUCUCUGAAAUCCCACUGGCAGCCUCCCAGGCUCUGUCCGAGACAUGGACAAAUAAAGCCAGCUUCGCGGGUUCGUGUUUAGGCUAAAGUCCACGGGCUGGGCUGCAAAGCAGACCUUAAAGGGACAUCUGCCUUUCAUUGAGAGGGUGAUCCCGCUCUCCGUGUCGGCGUCCUAAGGUGGGAGGGACGCGGGCCAGGGCUGGACCUUCUGGAGGGUGUCGCCGGCCCAGCGGCCCCGCCUUCACCCUACUUACUUAUCCGUGGGUCUGGGCAGGGAGGGCACUUGGAAAGUGCCGGGCCCUUGCCCUUAAGGGCAGGCUGGGUCCGAUUGCGCAGGAGAAAUUAAGAUUGUGUCUGAAAGCGAACACAUCUGGUAUUCCCACCUCCCUCUCCUGCAGACACUUGAACUUCGCUGUGCCGCUGUUGUCUGGCACCGUGUGUGUGUGUGUGUGUGUGUGUGUGUGUGUGUGUGUGUGUGUAGAGGGGCAUCCACUCUGACAGGCCCCUACAGAUUUUGCUUUCACUUAUGGAGCCUUUGCUUCCUGUAAGGUGAUUGGGGUUAAACGGUGGUUGCAGCUAAACUUUUCUUUGGGAAGACUGUGAGAGAAAAGGAGAAAGAAACAAGAAUGGGAAGAAAGAAAAAGAAGGAGAAAGAUAAAUGCAAGAGGGAAGAGAGGUUAAGGAAGGUUGGAAGCCAGUCUCCUUAGAAAUGAGGAUGCCAAGAUCAUUAAAGCCAGGACUGGGACCCACAUCAACAUCAUCUAUAAUCUAUUGGAUCAUGAUAUUCCACUGAGCUCAUCCAUCAGUACUUCUACCAAAUGUAAUAAAUGCACAUAGUUUAAGAAAUCAUGUGAAGCUAAUGAACUAUUGGGACUUCAUCAAGAUAAGAAGCUUUUGCACAGCAAAGGAUACAAGUCAACAAAACCAAAAGACAACCUACAGAAU